rnacentral:rRNA from 1 species
UACGAGGGGGGCAAGCGUUGUUCGGGAUUAUUGGGCGUAAAGGGUGCGUAGGCGGUUUGAUAAGUCAUCUGUGAAAUCUUCGGGCUCAACUCGAAGUCUGCACAGGAAACUAUCUGGCUUGAGUGUGGGAGAGGUGAGUGGAAUUCCUGGUGUAGCGGUGAAAUGCGUAGAUAUCAGGAGGAACACCUGUGGCGAAAGCGGCUCACUGGACCACAACUGACGCUGAGGCGCGAAAGCUAGGGGAGCAAACAGG